AUUGAACGCUGGCGGCAUGCCUAACACAUGCAAGUCGAACGGCAGCGCGGGCUUCGGCCUGGCGGCGAGUGGCGGACGGGUGAGGAAUACAUAGGAAUCUGCCCAGUCGUGGGGGAUAACCCGGGGGAAACCCGGACUAAUACCGCAUACGACGGUGACGUGAAAGCAGGGGGACCUUCGGGCCUUGCGCGAUUGGAUGAGCCUAUGUCGGAUUAGCUAGUUGGCGGGGUAAAGGCCCACCAAGGCGACGAUCCGUAGCUGGUCUGAGAGGAUGAUCAGCCACACUGGGACUGAGACACGGCCCAGACUCCUACGGGAGGCAGCAGUGGGGAAUAUUGGACAAUGGGCGCAAGCCUGAUCCAGCAAUGCCGCGUGGGUGAAGAAGGCCUUCGGGUUGUAAAGCUCUUCUAGCCGGGAAGAAAACGCACUCUCUAACAUAGGGUGUGGAGUGACGGUACCGGACCAAGAAGCACCGGCUAACUACGUGCCAG
rnacentral:rRNA from 1 species